rnacentral:misc_RNA from 1 species
GGAAAAUUGUAUUGUACAUAAUACGUAAGUUUCCUCAUCUUUUGAGUUUUGCACAAUAUUCUCUUCUUCUGCUUCCUAAUUUCAUAGUUCACGAUUUUUUCUUGGGGUUAUUUACUUAUAGUCAUUAUUGAUAUUGUCGUUUAUAUGCAUAGUGAUACUAGUCUCUUAUACUAUUCGGGCUUGAGUUCUAAGUUCACAAUCAUUUUUAUGAUUUUUUGUUUGUAACGGAAUGAGUAGUGAUGCAUCUACUUUUCCUUUUCGCUUGUUUUUGUGCUUGAUAGGGUUCAGUAAGGUCAUAUUUUGGUGGUUAAAAUUAAUAAUGGCAAAAAUUUGGGGUGCAUUUGACUAGGCCAUCAUAAAAUUGGCAAUGCCUCAAAUAACUUUAACGGGAAAGUGCGAAAAAGCAUCAUGUGAUCUCAUACAUUUAUUAGUUGGGGCUUGAGGUUUUUUUUUUUUUUUUGACACUUUAGUGCUCUGUGUUAAUGCGCCGUUAGCACUUAGGUGACCAAUAGAAUAGCGCCAUUUAGAAAGCAGAUGUGGCAUUUAAAAAAAUUUUCUCCAACAUGUCAGUAGGUGGUUCCCACUCAAUAAAAAUUGAAAAUUUAAUAUAAAUCUUUCCCUAAUUGGAAUCCCUAGAAUCUUGAAUCCCCAAACCCCAAAAUUCAAUACAUUUCCUAAAUAAAAAAUACAAAUCUACCAUAAAUCACAAGCAAUAAAUUCCCAUUGAAACAAAAUCCAUAAUGACAAAUUAAUCAAUAAAUCACAGAUAACAAAAACCCAAUUGAAACAAAACCCACAAUGACAAAUCCAUCAGUAAAUCACAACUAACAUACACCUAAUUGAAGCAAGGAAGGUUGUUGAAGACCAACUUAAUUCACUGUAUACGGUAAGAGCAAAUGGCUAAUUCAUGACAACAUCAAAGGGGGAGGUGACAGCUUGUCACGACAGCAGCAAAGGGGCAGCAACUGGCUUGUGACAGUAGCUGAAAGGUAGGGCUCAUUACCAGCAAGGAGACAAUGAAGGGGGUUACUGACACAUGAGAAAAAAAAAUUUUUUAUAUGCCACAUCAGCUUUCCAAAUGACAUUACUCCAUUUGUCUCCUAAGUGCUAGUGGUUUAUUAACACAGGUAUCAAAGUGUC